rnacentral:tmRNA from 1 species
GAACAUCCUUUAGCUUGAAUUGGUGGGGUGCCGCCCCCAUAAUGCCGACCAUGGUCGUAAUUCCGGCGACCCGGAAGCGUUCUGGACGCGGGUUCGAUUCCCGCCACCUCCACCACAGGGGGGGUGUACUGGUUUCGACAGGGCGUAGAAGGUGAGCAGGCGGCCCGAGAGGCGACGGACGUAAUCCGCG